rnacentral:rRNA from 1 species
UACGGAGGGGGCUAGCGUUGUUCGGAAUUACUGGGCGUAAAGCGCACGUAGGCGGCUUUGUAAGUUAGAGGUGAAAGCCCGGGGCUCAACCCCGGAAUAGCCUUUAAGACUGCAUCGCUUGAACACGGGAGAGGUGAGUGGAAUUCCGAGUGUAGAGGUGAAAUUCGUAGAUAUUCGGAAGAACACCAGUGGCGAAGGCGGCUCACUGGACUGGUAUUGACGCUGAGGUGCGAAAGCGUGGGGAGCAAACAGG